rnacentral:misc_RNA from 1 species
AAGUCGUAACAAGGUUUCCGUAGGUGAACAUGCGGAAGGAUCAUUAACACGUAUCCAAACGUUAAAACCCCCCAAGGAUAGCGCUUCUACGAUUCCUGUAGACCGUACACUCGGGCAGGAGCUUUGCCAAAGGGUCCCCAUGCCCCCUAAUAACCCCACAGUUUAAUGUGAAGCUCAAUGUAAUACAUUGGGGAAAAAAACCGAACAACUGUUAACAAUGGAUAUCUUGGUUCUC